AGGGAAUCUUCCGCAAUGGACGAAAGUCUGACGGAGCAACGCCGCGUGAGUGAAGAAGGCCUUCGGGUCGUAAAACUCUGUUGCCGGGGAAGAACAAGUGCCGUUCGAACAGGGCGGUGCCUUGACGGUACCCGGCCAGAAAGCCACGGCUAACUACGUGCCAGCAGCCGCGGUAAUACGUAGGUGGCAAGCGUUGUCCGGAAUUAUUGGGCGUAAAGCGCGAGCAGGCGGUUUCUGAAGUCUGAUGUGAAAUCUUGCGGCUCAACCGCAAGCGGUCAUUGGAAACUGGGAGGCUUGAGUGCAGAAGAGGAGAGUGGAAUUCCACGUGUAGCGGUGAAAUGCGUAGAGAUGUGGAGGAACACCAGUGGCGAAGGCGACUCUCUGGGCUGUAACUGACGCUGAGGCGCGAAAGCGUGGGGAGCAAAC
rnacentral:rRNA from 1 species